UGAAGGUGUAUUGUUUUUAGACUAAGAUUUAGUAGAAUAAAAGAGGGCCUGUAGACUAUAAAUACAAAGAAAAAAACAAAGGAGUUAGAUUAGUUUGAAGAACAGGAAAUAUGGCUCUGUGUACCGGGGCUGCAGCGACAGGAAAUAGUGAACAGGAACUUUGCAUGCCCAUAUAUGGGAACUGAGUGUGUAAAGAAAGAACACAGAGAGACAGACGAGGCCCAUGGAGCAAAUGAAGCCUUUAAGAAAAAUGAAUAUAUUACUAAUUGUAUGCUUUAGUGUCUCAAUACAGGUGGACUCUCUCAACAUUGCAACCUUGAGUUCAGCAGCAGAAAAGUAGAUUAAAAGAAUUGGGAGAAUAAGCCAGUUUUUGGCUCGAAAUUGUGCGGCUGGAUCUCUCACUUUGUCCCUGAAGCGGAGAAGAAGUUCAAAGGACAGUCAAUCGCCUGAUGAAGACCGACAGAACAUCGUGGACUUGAAUACAGCAGGCAAACGACAGUGCCACUGAUCCAUUAACACUGAUGACGACUGACGACCAGCAGCAGCAUGUAAGACUAAUGCAACAUGUACUGUGAAAAUACAGGCUGGGCAGUUGAACAGUGGGAUAAAGAAUUGUGGAAGAGCACUGGACAUUGAGUGAUAUUUUGCCAUGCUGGGACUUAAUCUGAAAGAAAGACUGUAAAGAAACAGAGAAGAAGACAACAGCUGAGUUGAGACUGUGUUUGCUGGAGCUUUGAAGCCCGAACAGGACAUUGUGCAGAGAGGACCAGUGAGAGAUGAAGCUGGACGAGUUUGACUGCGAGAAUAUAGGAUAUAAUUGGAUUGAAAAUUGAAACCUGAACUCAUGAAUUGUUUAGGGAUGUCCACCACAGCAUAACAAAGAGGUAAACAUUAGAAAAGGUUGAAACCAAGUGUUAUUGACAACACCCACAGCCUGUAAAAUUGCAGAGAGACCAUCUUGGAUACAUCAGAGCCACUGCAAAAGGUUGAGGUCCCGAGAAGCCCCGACACCGAGGAGGAAGCGCCUACGCUUGGUUGUUUCGGGGGUGAGGGUGGUAAGUGCGUUCUUGGGGCCCCCGUAGGGUAAGCCCGCACUCCAAUCUCUAUCCGAUCAACUUUUGGCAGCCAGGUGUAGGUGUGAAGGGGAACCCUGAUGGUUACCUUGACUACAAAGCUCACCCUUACAGGACCCCAGCUGAUGCCAACAGCAGCCGAGCCACAAGGCAGACAGAGAAGAUGGACGUACGACAACUUACACCUAAUGGACAUGACACAAGAUCACAUCCAUCCUUGGAUGAAAAGUGACUGAUACAGAUAUGUGUUUAACAAGACCACAGAGAAAGACUGUUAUGUUUGCUCGCACAUGCCGAGCAUAUUGACACAACCAUAUAUGGGAAACACCCUGGGACAGGUGCACUAAUUCUGAUUUCCGACCACCUUCAGAGUGACUUUUGUAAAGUGCACAACAACAACAACAACAACAUCGUCAUCCUGAUCCAGGAAGAAGCCCUCAACUUUAACAAGUUUUAAAGAGACUGUUGAUCGUCAUUGAAUUUUUCUUGAUUUUAUUUUGCUUUUCUUUACUUAUGUUAUUCCCUGUUUAAAGCUGUAAUCUCACAGAUGAUAAGUUUGUCAUUCACAGCAUACGCAGAUGCAUCACAAACUGAUGAAGA
ensembl:lncRNA